AACGAACGCUGGCGGCGUGCCUAACACAUGCAAGUCGAGCGCGAAAAGGGCAACCUGAGUAGAGCGGCGCACGGGUGCGUAACACGUGGGUAAUCUGCCUUAGAGUCGAGGAUAACCUUCCGAAAGGUUGGCUAAUACUCGGUAAGCUUACGGUGUCUUCGGACGCUGUGGGAAAAGUAGGCCUCUGUUUACAAGCUUACGCUCUGAGACGAGCCCGCGGCCCAUCAGCUAGUUGGCGGUGUAACGGACCACCAAGGCAACGACGGGUAGCUGGUCUGAGAGGACGAUCAGCCACACUGGAACUGAGACACGGUCCAGACUCCUACGGGAGGCAGCAGUGGGGAAUUUUCCACAAUGGGCGAAAGCCUGAUGGAGCAACGCCGCGUGUGUGAUGAAGGUUUUCGGAUCGUAAAGCACUUUCGACUGGGACGAAAAACCUUUGGCUAACAUCCAGGGGCCUGACGGUACCAGGAGAAGAAGCACCGGCUAACUCUGUGCCAGCAGCCGCCGCAG
rnacentral:rRNA from 1 species